GAAUCUACCGACAUAGAAAUUGUGUUUAUACUUGCUUACGUCUCGUUUACGAUCUAUGUCUUCGCUUGCUAAUUAUUUAAUAUUUAAGUGUAAUAAGUGUGAAUUGUUAGUGUGUCGUUCAAUGUACUCUAAUCUAUUGUGUUGUGUAUUAAACUGUCUCUUAGUGCUGUAAUUGGACUUUCUUUUUUGUGUACGACGACCCGGCUUGCAUAAAGGCUGAAGCGUAGCAUAAAGGUUG